rnacentral:lncRNA from 1 species
AAACUCGAGCCCUAUCGCUCCCCUGUGGAUACACCAAGUCGAAGCAAGUAGUCCCCGUGUCGUGUAUGCGUACAGAGCGAUGGGAGAGGGUGUCGACCGUGCCACCGCCGUAGACUCGCCGUUGGCCAGCCUCCCAGUCGCGGUGGUCUGUCCAGGGUGUAUCAGCGGACUCCGCCGCGUGUGCUGGACCAACCCCUGGGUCGGUUGCGUCUUCCCAUCGGCGACAAUUGCUCACCGGAGCUGCGACUGCCGCCAAGCCACAUCUCCGCGGGCAUCGAGUUCUCCGCGUCGCCGGACCUAGGUAAGACUUCCCCGAAUCUCCUCCUCACCUUCAUCAAAUGUAGAACCGGGUGAUUGAGUCCCCUGUUGCGCUGGAGCACGCUUAUUGCUCGUCAGCGUGAUUAGAACCACUGUUGUCCGCCCUCCUCGGUAGACAGUGUGUUUUAAUGAUCUUACACACGAAUUGACUCACUAGAACGAUUCGCCGCGUUGCGGGCUUGGCGUAGGGCUUAGGAAUUAAAUUUUGGUGCACUGGCGAGGCAGCGCGGUCAUCUCCGGCGAUGCGCCGCCGCGCAGUUGCGUCACCACCGCACUCGGCCGCUGGAAUUGGGGAAGAAAGGUGACUGUCGGCCGACCGUUGGAUGCCCAACGGAUGGCCAAGAUUAAAUGAUGCGCAUACCCUUUGGUGAGAUCGCAUCUGGGCCGUCGGUUGUAUGGCGGGCGAUGUAGAUUAGAUCUGGGGAUUUUAAAUCGUGGCCGUUGGGUGGAUCGGAUGGCCAGAAUUGAUUGCGGGGUUUAGGGGACGUCAGAUCUAAUCCGGGCCCUCGGUUCUGGAUCUAGCGGCUCACAUCCAACCGUACCCCUUCGCGGGUACAUUUUGCUAAAGAAACCCUAGGGUAUUUUAUAAUGAACCCGCCGUCCUACUUCCACUAUUCCCUGUGUCACUGGAUUCUUACCCCGAGCCCCCUGUGAUUAAUUGAAAUUGUGGCCCAGUCCAGAACCCAUUUAAUUUGAAUAAAUGAAAUAGAAAAUGGAUUUUUAAUAUGAAAAUAAUUACUAGAACUUAAUUAAUUCAUAGAAACUUCAUACUAAGUCCAAAUUAAUCCAUUCCAAUUUCUAUAAUUUUGUAAUAUUAUUGUUUAUCAUUUAGUACCACUGUUUUGACAUGAAUAUCACAAUAGAAUUUAUAUCCUAUUUAAUCUUGUACAAAACACAUGAAACCUUUAGAAAUUCAUAACUUAAAAUCUAUAACUCCAAAAUUAACGAUUUCUGUUCCUAGAAUCUUAUUUUAAUGUGUAGAUUAUUAUUAUGUAUUUUGUUUACAUGUUUGGUGUGAUGUUAAUUUUGCCUACACCAUGUUUGUCUGUAUUGCUACGACUAGUGCGAGGUCACGUGUCAUCCGAAGAUCAUCCUGGUACCUGGAAUCUCAAGUCCCAGGCAAGUUGUGCCCUUGAUCACUUCUUUUACCCACUCAUGUUCUAAUUAAUCAUAAUGAUCUACAUAGGUUAAUUUUGAUGGGACCCAACAGGUUACCCUAGUUUGACUAUCUUUAUACCUUGAUUACCACUGGACUUUUUGGGUAGUACUUGCUAUUGCUUUAUGUGGUUUUGGGUAUGAAGAUUACACUAUUCAUGAUUAUACUUUUGUUAUCAGUUGUUAUUUAUUGUUCAUGUUAAGAUCAUUAUGUUAAUUGGAACAUGGAGAACCACCCGGGAAAACAGUGCUACCACAAGGGUUUAUGGACGCCCUUGGCUGACUAAUUAGGAAAGCUAGUGGAGGACUACCUUACCCGAAAGGGGCAAGGGCAGUAGGGGAGUGGUCAGUGUAGGGAGGCCCUCGGGAGGAUUUUGCUGUGAUGGCGGUCCUGCAAGGGAUUCCUGGGGAGGCCCUCGGGAGGAUUUUGCUGUGAUGGCGGUCCUGCAAGGGAUUCCUGGGAAGGCCCUCGGGAGGAUUUUGCUGUGAUGGCGGUCCUGCAAGGGAUUCCUGCAUUGGAGCUUCCUAUAAACUGUAGCGGGUUUUCUGAAGCUAGUGGAACUUUGUAAAGGCCUCGUAGUGUUACCCUGCCUCGCCUCCUCGGUAGAGGUGUAUGGGAAGUCGCGAUCCCUUGGCAGAUGGGUAACAUGACUUGUGGGUAAAGAUGCGCAACCUCUGCAGAUUGUAAAACUGGUAUACUAGCCGUGCUCACGGUCAUGAGCGGCUCGGACACUCACAUGAUUAAUCUAUGGAACUUAAAUUCAAUUUGUCAUAUGCAUUGCAUCGCAGGUGAUGUUGUUACUUCUGUUCUACUAUUUAAUUGGGUUGGUAUUUACUUAUACUUAGUAAUGGCUAAUAAAAUUUUGACCAACUUUAAAAGCAACGCUCAGCUUCAGCCAUCAUCUUUGGUAAGCCUUACACUUCACAUGAACUCCCACCUUUGGCGAGUUCAUUCACAUUAUUCCCCACAACUUGUUGAGCGAUGAACGUAUGUGAGCUCACUCUUGCUGUCUCACACCCCCCCACACAGGUCAAGAACAGGUACCGCAGGAUGAGGCGCGUGGAGGAUGCUGUGAUGUGUUCGUGAGAGAUCUAGGCCGUCGUCUCCCAGUCAACUUUGGGUUGCUGGACCGUUGUCUCCUUAUAAUGUAAUUACUUAUUUAUUUUGUAUAGAACUCCUGUUAGAUAGUAAAGAUGUGACAUUCGAUCAUGUGCCAUGAUUCAUCAUAUGUGUGAGACUUGGUCCCAGCACACCUGGUGAUUAUGUUUACGCCCGGGUUUUGGACCCCUAAAAUCCGGGUGUUACAGAAGUGGUAUCAGAGGAAUGUUGACUGUAGGAUGAAACCUAGAUAGAACUGGACAACCAUUCUCUACUUACCUUUGCUACUCUGAUUCUUUUCUAAACUUUUCUUAAUCUUAUCUCAUCUAUUUCCGCUUUACUCUGAUUAUUCUUACCAUCUUCUUCUAAAGACAAAUGUGGAUUUCACACUUUGAAAUCCUGUGCCUAAAGUGACCUUUAGGAAUAGGAGACCUACUCUUAAGAAACAAAAAACAAAACUAUUUUUUUUAUAGAUAUCUAUGCACAUGAAUGCUUGUUCUUAUGAUACUUGUUUGAUUUGGAUCUUUCGAGUGUGAUUAGUUGUGGAGUAAUGUCCACAAUUACAUCUGCAUAUACAUAUAGAAAAAAAUGCUUAUAAAAGUAACUAGACAAGUUGGAUUAUCCCUCAUUAAAAAAAAUGUAUCUAGCUUAAUGGAUUCAUCUCAUCUUAAAAGAUUCUAUCCUACACUCAUAGAUCCAUCUUAUCUCAAAAGAUCCUAACUUAUCUUAAUUAAAAUAUAUCUAGCAUAAUAGAUCCAUCUCAUUUUAACAGAUUCUCUCUUAUCUUAAUAAAUUCAUCUUAUUUAUCUUAUCCUAAUAAAUCUAACUGACAUCAAAAGAUUCUACCUUGUCCUUAUGAAUUCAUCUUGCCCUAAUAAGCAUAUUUAUCCCACCCUAGUAUAACAACCAUGAUCUAACACAACCUAAGAGGUAAAGUAAACCAUGAUCGACUUAUCUCAUGUUUCACAACCACCUACCUAUCUAAACCGUCUAAAUCCAGUUGGAGACACCAAGAUCGAAGUGGAUCAACCAUGUCAAGGAAGAUAAGAGUCAAGUAGAUCAUCAAAUGAGUCAAGAUCCACCAUCCGUGACGGAGUCUGUCCUUGCCCUAACCUUCCUAUCUUUUAUCCUACAUAAUGAAAUGGCUAUACAUAUAGAUACCCAUGCUUUCCCAGUCACUUUCUAAUUAACAUGAAACUUCUUAUUCUUAAACUAAUUAGAAGUUAAAGGCUAAACUAUAAAUAAAGUUUUUUUUAACAUCCCUUUUCUUACAAAUCUCGAGGUCGAGAUUAUUUUUAAGGGGGGUAGGAUUUGUAAUACUCAAAAUUGUAUACAAGGAAUAUAUAGUGAUUUCUUCAUUUUAUGUGCCUCAUUUGCAUCAUAAGAAAAGAGCCCACACACCAUUUAGAGAUUAAGUCAAACAAAUGAUAAAAAAAAUGCAUCAUGCUGGAGUUUAUAUGUUUGUGCAUUAAAUGAAAUAAUAAUGCUAAUGAUAAUAAGAUAAUAAUUACUAGAAGUUGAAUUAAAACCUAAAUUAAAAUUUGGGUUUUUGAAAAUGAGAAGAAGAGAAAGUAUGUAAAAAUAUAAAUAAUAUAAUUAUAUUUUAAAACUGGUAUUUUUAAUUUCACAGAAGUAAAAGGGAUUAAUGUAGCACAAGCUUGAAUUUAAACUUGAAUUCAAUUUGAAAAUAGAGAAAGAGGGAAUCAGAAAAAGAAAAAAAAAAGAAAAAGGAAGCCACAUGGGCCGACUACCUCCUUUCCAGCCCAAUUCACGUUUUCACCCGCGCGGCCCAACUCCUAAUCCUCCACGCGCGCGCGCUGGACACCACUGACAUCCGGACCCCGCGCGCCAGCCUCACAUGGUAUAGUCAUUCAGCGCUAGUGUUGAGUCACUAGCAGGUGGGACCCACUUGUCGGGUUUAUCCCCUUCGCGUAACAGAACCCGCGCGGGAGCUUCGGCUGCCGUUGCGGACCUCGCUGACCGGUGAUUCACCUCCGUGGUUUCCGCUCGGACCAACUACCUGAACCGCGAAUCGCUGCAGCAAAGUCUACCCAGCGCCUCUGACUCCGUCUUCUUGUUGCUCGGUCUGUAGCAACGGAAGCCGGUGGUGCCGCCAGGAAUCGCGGACCCGGACUUCACUGGCGGGGCGCAUAAAACUCGAGCCCUAUCGCUCCCCUGUGGAUACACCAAGUCGAAGCAAGUAGUCCCCGUGUCGUGUAUGCGUACAGAGCGAUGGGAGAGGGUGUCGACCGUGCCACCGCCGUAGACUCGCCGUUGGUCAGCCUCCCAGUCGCGGUGGUCUGUCCAGGGUGUAUCAGCGGACUCCGCCGCGUGUGCUGGACCAACCCCUGGGUCGGUUGCGUCUUCCCAUCGGCGACAAUUGCUCACCGGAGCUGCGACUGCCGCCAAGCCACAUCUCCGCGGGCAUCGAGUUCUCCGCGUCGCCGGACCUAGGUAAGACUUCCCCGAAUCUCCUCCUCACCUUCAUCAAAUGUAGAACCGGGUGAUUGAGUCCCCUGUUGCGCUGGAGCACGCUUAUUGCUCGUCGGCGUGAUUAGAACCACUGUUGUCCGCCCUCCUCGGUAGACAGUGGGUUUUAAUGAUCUUACACACGAAUUGACUCACUAGAACGAUUCGCCGCGUUGCGGGCUUGGCGUAGGGCUUAGGAAUUAAAUUUUGGUGCACUGGCGAGGCAGCGCGGUCAUCUCCGGCGAUGCGCCGCCGCGCAGUUGCGUCACCACCGCGCUCGGCCGCUGGAAUUGGGGAAGAAAGGUGACUGUCGGCCGACCGUUGGAUGCCCAACGGAUGGCCAAGAUUAAAUGAUGCGCAUACCCUUUGGUGAGAUCGCAUCUGGGCCGUCGGUUGUAUGGCGGGCGAUGUAGAUUAGAUCUGGGGAUUUUAAAUCGUGGCCGUUGGGUGGAUCGGAUGGCCAGAAUUGAUUGCGGGGUUCAGGGGACGUCAGAUCUAAUCCGGGCCCUCGGUUCUGGAUCUAGCGGCUCACAUCCAACCGUACCCCUUCGCGGGUACAUUUUGCUAAAGAAACCCUAGGGUAUUUUAUAAUGAACCCGCCGUCCUACUUCCACUAUUCCCUGUGUCACUGGAUUCUUACCCCGAGCCCCCUGUGAUUAAUUGAAAUUGUGGCCCAGUCCAGAACCCAUUUAAUUUGAAUAAAUGAAAUAGAAAAUGGAUUUUUAAUAUGAAAAUAAUUACUAGAACUUAAUUAAUUCAUAGAAACUUCAUACUAAGUCCAAAUUAAUCCAUUCCAAUUUCUAUAAUUUUGUAAUAUUAUUGUUUAUCAUUUAGUACCACUGUUUUGACAUGAAUAUCACAAUAGAAUUUAUAUCCUAUUUAAUCUUGUACAAAACACAUGAAACCUUUAGAAAUUCAUAACUUAAAAUCUAUAACUCCAAAAUUAACGAUUUCUGUUCCUAGAAUCUUAUUUUAAUGUGUAGAUUAUUAUUAUGUAUUUUGUUUACAUGUUUGGUGUGAUGUUAAUUUUGCCUACACCAUGUUUGUCUGUAUUGCUACGACUAGUGCGAGGUCACGUGUCAUCCGAAGAUCAUCCUGGUACCUGGAAUCUCAAGUCCCAGGCAAGUUGUGCCCUUGAUCACUUCUUUUACCCACUCAUGUUCUAAUUAAUCAUAAUGAUCUGCAUAGGUUAAUUUUGAUGGGACCCAACAGGUUACCCUAGUUUGACUAUCUUUAUACCUUGAUUACCACUGGACUUUUUGGGUAGUACUUGCUAUUGCUUUAUGUGGUUUUGGGUAUGAAGAUUACACUAUUCAUGAUUAUACUUUUGUUAUCAGUUGUUAUUUAUUGUUCAUGUUAAGAUCAUUAUGUUAAUUGGAACAUGGAGAACCACCCGGGAAAAUAGUGCUACCACAAGGGUUUAUGGACGCCCUUGGCUGACUAAUUAGGAAAGCUAGUGGAGGACUACCUUACCCGAAAGGGGCAAGGGCAGUAGGGGAGUGGUCAGUGUAGGGAGGCCCUCGGGAGGAUUUUGCUGUGAUGGCGGUCCUGCAAGGGAUUCCUGGGGAGGCCCUCGGGAGGAUUUUGCUGUGAUGGCGGUCCUGCAAGGGAUUCCUGGGAAGGAGCUUCCUAUAAACUGUAGCGGGUUUUCUGAAGCUAGUGGAACUUUGUAAAGGCCUCGUAGUGUUACCCUGCCUCGCCUCCUCGGUAGAGGUGUAUGGGAAGUCGCGAUCCCUUGGCAGAUGGGUAACAUGACUUGUGGGUAAAGAUGCGCAACCUCUGCAGAGUGUAAAACUGGUAUACUAGCCGUGCUCACGGUCAUGAGCGGCUCGGACACUCACAUGAUUAAUCUAUGGAACUUAAAUUCAAUUUGUCAUAUGCAUUGCAUCGCAGGUGAUGUUGUUACUUCUGUUCUACUAUUUAAUUGGGUUGGUAUUUACUUAUACUUAGUAAUGGCUAAUAAAAUUUUGACCAACUUUAAAAGCAAUGCUCAGCUUCAGCCAUCAUCUUUGGUAAGCCUUACACUUCACAUGAACUCCCACCUUUGGCGAGUUCAUUCACAUUAUUCCCCACAACUUGUUGAGCGAUGAACGUAUGUGAGCUCACUCUUGCUGUCUCACACCCCACCCCACAGGUCAAGAACAGGUACCGCAGGAUGAGGCGCGUGGAGGAUGCUGUGAUGUGUUCGUGAGAGAUCUAGGCCGUCGUCUCCCAGUCAACUUUGGGUUGCUGGACCGUUGUCUCCUUAUAAUGUAAUUACUUAUUUAUUUUGUAUAGAACUCCUGUUAGAUAGUAAAGAUGUGACAUUCGAUCCUGUGCCAUGAUUCAUCAUAUGUGUGAGACUUGGUCCCAGCACACCU